rnacentral:rRNA from 1 species
AGAACGAACGCUGGCGGCAUGCCUAACACAUGCAAGUCGAACGAAGCCUUCGGGCUUAGUGGCGCACGGGUGCGUAACACGUGGGAAUCUGCCCUUAGGUACGGAAUAACUCAGGGAAACUUGAGCUAAUACCGUAUGAUGUCUUCGGACCAAAGAUUUAUCGCCUAGGGAUGAGCCCGCGUCGGAUUAGCUAGUUGGUGGGGUAAAGGCCUACCAAGGCGACGAUCCGUAGCUGGUCUGAGAGGAUGAUCAGCCACACUGGGACUGAGACACGGCCCAGACUCCUACGGGAGCAGCAGUGGGGAAUAUUGGACAAUGGGCGAAAGCCUGAUCCAGCAAUGCCGCGUGAGUGAAGAAGGCCUUCGGGUUGUAAAGCUCUUUUACCCGGGAAGAUAAUGACUGUACCGGAGAAUAAGCCCCGCUAACUCCGUGCCAGCAGCCGC